rnacentral:rRNA from 13 species
UAGAGACCCUAUCGACGGAGUGGUUUGGCACCUCGAUGUUGGAUUAUCGCAUCCUGGAACUGUAAACGGUUCCAAGGGUUUGGCUGUUCGCCAAGGAAGGCGGUACAUGAUCUGAGUUUAGAACGUCGUGAGACAGUUUGGUCCCUAUCUACCGUAAGCGUUAAAAAAUUGUGAAGAGUAAACCUUAGUACGAGAGGACCGGGAAAAGUAAACCAAUGGUGUAUCGAUUGCUAUUCCAAUAGCAUUGUCGAGUAGCUAAGUUUGUAAUAGAUAAUCGCUGAAAGCAUCUAAGCGAGAAACUAACUUCAAGAUUUAUUUUUUUAAAGAUGUAGUCGAUAACUACGUGGAUAGGCUUAAUGUG